rnacentral:rRNA from 1 species
GCGCGAAAAACUUUACAAUGCGGGAAACCGUGAUAAGGGGGACACCGAGUGCCAGCAUCAUAUGCUGGCUGUCCAGAUGUGUAAAAUACAUCUGUUAGCAAGGGCCGGGCAAGACCGGUGCCAGCCGCCGCGGUAACACCGGCGGCCCGAGUGGUGAUCGUGAUUAUUGGGUCUAAAGGGUCCGUAGCCGGUUUGGUCAGUCCUCCGGGAAAUCUGAUAGCUCAACUAUUAGGCUUUCGGGGGAUACUGCCAGACUUGGAACCGGGAGAGGUAAGAGGUACUACAGGGGUAGGAGUGAAAUCUUGUAAUCCCUGUGGGACCACCUGUGGCGAAGGCGUCUUACCAGAACGGGUUCGACGGUGAGGGACGAAAGCUGGGGGCACGAACCGGAUUAGAUACCCGGGUAGUCCCAGCCGUAAACGAUGCUCGCUAGGUGUCAGACAUGGCGCGACCGUGUCUGGUGCCGCAGGGAAGCCGUGAAGCGAGCCACCUGGGAAGUACGGCCGCAAGGCUGAAACUUAAAGGAAUUGGCGGGGGAGCACAACAACGGGUGGAGCCUGCGGUUU